ensembl:misc_RNA
CAGCCGGGGCCCCAGGGGACAGCGCGGACGCCCAGCCUGCGCUCCCGGCGUCACCCCGAGGCCGCGCACAACUGAAUAAACACGGCGCAGCGCUGAGAUCUGCCAGGGGCUGGGGCCGCAG